AGCCGACAGAUCCAAACUCUCUGCAAGUCACGAUAAUGGCCACUACCCUACUCCACUCUCUGCAUUGGAUUUUGUGUGGCUCCACCACUCUCUGGCAAGUCGCGACAAUGGGCACUACUCCACUCUCUCGGCUCUACCACUCUGUGGCAAGUCACGAUAAUGGACACCACUCCACUCUCCGUAACAAACUCCACGUGGCCCUGAACGACCCCUGAUGCCACUACUCUCUGUAACAAACUCCGCAUGGCUCUGAACGGCCCACUAUCAGGUGGUUACAGACGUCGCUGUCAAUCAGUUACGCUCUCUG
rnacentral:lncRNA from 1 species